UAUCAACACAAUUCAGACCUAUAUAAUCAGUGCGUACCUGGAAAAGAACAUUCAGUUGUUCUCUCGACACAGAAACCAAAAUGAAAGCUGCAUUUUUGAUUACUUUUGUAAUGGCCAUCUUCGCUUUAACCAUGGCCAAUCCAUCGCCAAAUCCAAACCCAAUUCCCCAACCAAGACCUCAGUACUGGAAUUACGGCUACGGAAUCGGAAUGCCGUACUACAGAUUAGAUUAUGGGUACUACUUCUAAUGGAGAAUGUUAUUUCGCACAAGAUUCGCAGUGGAAAUAAAUUUUUAUGUUGAA